UUCGAAAAUUUUAACGUCUGCGCAGAACGCACAUUCUAUCAGUCAGAGAAGCACACGUUUCUACUCUCUCCCGACCAAACCCCCAACCAGCGAGUCUUUGCACCCCGAAGUCUUCUUCUGACCUACUGACCAAGAAAACGUUUUUCAGGACAGAACUUCAGAUGACCCGACGGUGCAGCUACACCAGCGUCCAGAUCCCGGACCCUAAUCGGCCCGGCAUCCUGCGGACCAUCCUCAGGCUCAGAGGACCGGCCUCCCUGUUCGGCCCCUCACCUGGUCCCCCACCUGACUGCGAGCCCCGGCAGCUUGGAUAAUGUCUCUCCAUCCAGGAGCUCGUAGAGUGAAUGAUGCCCCAUGAAGCUUCAGCCCACAAGUGAACCGAUGGGAUGAAAAGCCUCAAAGCUUCAUGAAGCUUUGCCUUGCCAUCACUGGAUCACGGAGGAUCCCAAACAAUCGCAGACGAACCGGCGACGGGACAAGGGAAACACACGGCUUGAAUACGCUGGCCAAGCUGCAGGUGAUUGGACACAAGUGAGAGCGAUUAGGGACAAGGCGGACAGUCACAAGGGAGGAAAAAACACACCAGGGAAGGAUGUGAAGUUAACCCAGGGACAAAUGAGGCAGGGAAAUACAACAGGAAACAUGGGACAUGUUUGGUGAUUUGCUGAGAUAUGUGUUGUGUGCCGGCUGCCUUGAAAUUGAGCCGACCAUCGCCACAUUUUGACCCUAAUUACCAGUAUGCAGUACACAUACUGCUUGAGUCUGCAGCAUGUUAGUCUAUGAUUUAAAACACAGCUUUAGUCCUAUGUUGCUAAAUGUUAAACAUUUUAACAAUGUCCUUGCAUCCUCAGCAUGUCUGAGCUUUCAAGUACAAAGCUGUGGCU